rnacentral:rRNA from 1 species
AUGGGAACGCGAAGAACCUUACCUAGACUUGACAUCUCCUGAAUAGUGUAGAGAUACAUGAAGCCCUUCGGGCAGGAAGACAGGUGGUGCAUGGUUGUCGUCAGCUCGUGUCGUGAGAUGUUGGGUUAAGUCCCGCAACGAGCGCAACCCUUAUUACUAGUUGCUACCAUUAAGUUGAGCACUCUAGUGAGACUGCCCGGGUUAACCGGAGGAAGGCGGGAGUGACGUCAAAUCAUCAUGCCCCUUAUGUCUAGGGCUACACACGUGCUACAAUGGUGAGAACAACGAGAUGCAAUACCGCGAGGUGGAGCAAAACUUCAAAACUCAAUCUCAGUUCGGAUUGUAGGCUGAAACUCGCCUACAUGAAGUUGGAGUUGCUAGUAAUCGCGAAUCAGAAUGUCGCGG